rnacentral:rRNA from 1 species
UCAGGACGAACGCUGGCGGCGUGCCUAAUACAUGCAAGUCGAACGGUCUUUCUAUGGAAGCUUGCUUCCACUGAGAAGAUAGUGGCGAACGGGUGAGUAACACGUGGGUAACCUGCCCAUAAGAGGGGGAUAACAUCCGGAAACGGGUGCUAAUACCGCAUAGUUUUCUUGAUCGCAUGAUCGGGAAAGGAAAGACGGCCUUUGUGCUGUCGCUUAUGGAUGGACCCGCGGCGUAUUAGUUAGUUGGUGAGGUAACGGCUCACCAAGACGAUGAUACGUAGCCGACCUGAGAGGGUGAUCGGCCACAUUGGGACUGAGACACGGCCCAAACUCCUACGGGAGGCAGCAGUAGGGAAUCUUCCGCAAUGGACGAAAGUCUGACGGAGCAACGCCGCGUGAGUGAAAGAAGGUUUUCGGAUCGUAAAACUCUGUUGUCAGAGAAGAACAAGUUGGAGGGUAACUGCUCCAGCCUUGACGGUAUCUGACCAGAAAGCCACGGCUAACUACGUGCCAGCAGCCGC